UUAGAUGUUGAAGACAGACGGCCUGACCCUCCGGUUCCCUUUCCCAUCGGAUCUGAACACCGGUCUUGGUGGUCGUAAAAGGAGGAAAAGUAAUAAUUGAAGCUGGCCUCACAGUGCUUGUGGUCUGCUCUAUGGCAUGGGGGCUAGUUUCAGACAGGGCAGAAUUCUCUUUGAACUUGUUUUAAAAUGGGAUAAUCUUAGGCUUAAAAGGAGGACACAUGUGAAGCUCUGGGCAAUUUGUAGUGAUUGCUGGCUAAUGUUUUUAUAUUUAUAUGGGAGGGAUUCAUCAAUGGCUUUCUUGCCUCUUGCUUGAGAGUGUCCUCUUUUUGUAGAUUUGUUACCAGUAAGCUGUCUUCAUGUGAUUAUGGAUGUACAGAAUUGGGAGAGAAGCUCUGGGAAGAGGCAAACUAAAAGACUUGGAGGAGACAACCAGAACAGAAAAUCCCCUCAAACCCCUCCCCUAUUCCCCUCCACCUGCUGGUUCUUGAACAGGCCUUUGCCCCACCCUGAGCAAGUAUGCAAGGCAUUUUCCCCAAGUGUCAGGUCCCCUAUCAGUCCCCCGUCCUUCCGACCCUGCAGCAUGGAUGGUUUUGUGCUACAUUCUCUUAAUAAACUCUUGAUGUAAUGUAA